CACGUAGGGGGCAAGCGUUGUCCGGAUUUAUUGGGCGUAAAGAGCUCGUAGGCGGCUCAGUAAGUCGGGUGUGAAACCUCCAGGCUCAACCUGGAGACGCCACCCGAUACUGCUGUGGCUUGAGUCCGGUAGGGGAGCGUGGAAUUCCUGGUGUAGCGGUGAAAUGCGCAGAUAUCAGGAGGAACACCAGCGGCGAAGGCGGCGCUCUGGGCCGGAACUGACGCUGAGGAGCGAAAGCAUGGGGAGCAAACAGG
rnacentral:rRNA from 1 species